rnacentral:misc_RNA from 1 species
GGAAGUAAAAGUCGUAAUAAGGUCACCGUAGGUGAACCUGCGGAGGGAUCAUUACAGAGUUCAUGCCCUACCGGGUAGAUCUCCCACCCUAUGUUAUUAUUACUUUGUUGCUUUGGCGGGCCGUUAGGCUCCGGCCCGACUACCGGCCCCGGCUGGUAAGCGCCCGCCAGAGGACCCAAAACCCUGAAUAUUAGUGUCGUCUGAGUACUAUAUAAUAGUUAAAACUUUCAACAACGGAUCUCUUGGUUCUG